rnacentral:lncRNA from 1 species
AAAACUUUUGAAUAAAGUCACCCUUCUUUUAGUUAUCUCAAAAUCUUUUUCAGCUCGUAGAGUGAAAUCAGUCUACUGUACUGGCAAGACAAAGACCUAGCUAGGUACCUCUUCCUAGCUCUCAUAGCAGCAGUAGGAAGAAAUCCCUUAAGGAACUGUACCAACUUGUUAUGGAUGCAUUCCCUUAGCUGAAACCAUUCAUUGCCAAGGGAUUGCAGUUUUCUCUGCUAUGUUAUUUAAAAUUCCCUCGGCAAUAAUUCCUUCUUGCUUGGAUUUCAUAAAGUUCCCAGAACAGAAGCAUGACUUCCCUAGACUCCCUUCAGCCUAAAUGUAUCAGCAUUAUGGGUGCUCCAGGGCAGAAGGCGGUUUUAUACUAGCCUCCUCCCUGUGUCGGUUAAUCAUUCACACCAAUACGGGGUUAUAAAGAUACUGAGGUUUUGUGCUUCUGGUUGUUUUUAACUCUAGCAUUCAGAAAUGUGGACUAAGUGAAUAGACCAACAGAUGUAUAAA